CUUCUUGUAUAGAUUUGAAGUCGUACCUGCCCAAUGAUGUAUAAUUUAAUGGCCGCAGUAUUUUGACUGUGCAAAGGUAGCAUAAUCAUUAGUCUUUUAAUUGUGGACUAGAAUGAAGGGUUUGACGAAAUAAUAACUGUCUCAUAAUGAUUUAUGAAUUUUACUUUUUAGUUAAAAGGCUAAAAUGUUAAUAAGGGACGAGAAGACCCUAUAGAUCUUGAUAUUGUUAUAUAAAUUAAUUAUUAGUUGUUUUUUGUAGUUUAUAUUAAAAUAUUUCGUUGGGGUGAUGUGAGAAUAGAAUAACUUCUCAUAAUUAAACUUUUAUUCAAGGAUAAUUGACUUUUGUAAUAUGGAAUUAAGAUGAAGAUACCUUAGGGAUAACAGCGUAAUUUUAUUUGAAAGUUCUAAUUGAUAAUAAAGUUUGCGACCUCGAUGUUGGAUUAAAUUAAUAUUUUGGUGCAGUAGUUAAAUGUAUUGGUCUGUUC
rnacentral:rRNA from 1 species